rnacentral:rRNA from 1 species
GACGAACGCUGGCGGCGUGCCUAAUACAUGCAAGUAGAACGAAGAUGCGAACGGGAGAGUAACGCAUAGGUAACUGCCUGGUAGCGGGGGAUAACUAUUGGAAACGAUAGCUAAUACCGCAUACUACCAGAUGGACCUGCGUUGUAUUAGCAAGUUGGUGAGGUAACGGCUCACCAAGGCAAAGAUACAUAGCAGACCGGAGAAGGUGAUGGGCCCCACUGGGACAGGUAAACGGCCCAGACUCCUACGUGAGGCAGCAGUGGGGAAUCGUCGGGAAUAGGGGGAACCCUGUGCGCGCAACGCCGCGUGAGUGAAGAGGGUGUUCGGAUCUUAAAGCUCUGUUAAGCGGGACGCGGUACCGGAAUAGAAAGCCACGGCUAACUACGUGCCAGCAGCCGCGGUAAUAC